GAUGAACGCUGGCGGCGUGCCUAAUACAUGCAAGUCGAGCGAACAGAUGAGGAGCUUGCUCCUCUGACGUUAGCGGCGGACGGGUGAGUAACACGUGGAUAACCUACCUAUAAGACUGGGAUAACUUCGGGAAACCGGAGCUAAUACCGGAUAAUAUAUUGAACCGCAUGGUUCAAUAGUGAAAGACGGUUUUGCUGUCACUUAUAGAUGGAUCCGCGCCGCAUUAGCUAGUUGGUAAGGUAACGGCUUACCAAGGCAACGAUGCGUAGCCGACCUGAGAGGGUGAUUGGCCACACUGGAACUGAGACACGGUCCAGACUCCUACGGGAGGCAGCAGUAGGGAAUCUUCCGCAGUGGGCGAAAGCCUGACGGAGCAACGCCGCGUGAGUGAUGAAGGUCUUCGGAUCGUAAAACUCUGUUAUUAGGGAAGAACAAAUGUGUAAGUAACUAUGCACGUCUUGACGGUACCUAAUCAGAAAGCCACGGCUAACUACGUG
rnacentral:rRNA from 1 species